UUCUCAACGCUCUUCAGAGGACUAAAAGAUAAAGGCCACGAUGGAUUCAUUCAACAAGUCCUAAUCCUGCGCCCUGGUGUGUGCCAGACCCUGCUCCCCGCGAGGGGAUCCACGAGCGACCCUCACCACUAUCCCUGCCCUGGUGGACCCUCCGUGCGGGACACAGCAUCCGAAGAUGGCAGCGGAAGCUCCUCAGCGCCCCGAAAGCGACUGGGCAGGGGGCACAGGCUCCCUCACUGGGUGAAGGCCGCACAAAGAACCGGAAGAGCCAUCCGGGUAGCUCACCCGGCGUUCAGCUUCCCUUGGGCCCCCUGGCUGCUCGGGCCCGGAUCGCGGACCGGGGCGUUUCCGGGGAUUUCUGAAGCGGACGAGGGGCAGGGCGGGCGAAGGCCAUUCGGCUCUCCUUCUGGCUCCAGAAUCUCCCAACCCGCAGGUGUGCAGUGUGACCAGCGCGACUCACCGCUCUAAUCGCUCCGAUUUUCCAAGGCCUUGCUCAGUAGUCCUGCCAGGCGGGCUC
rnacentral:lncRNA from 1 species